rnacentral:rRNA from 1 species
UGGGGAAUUUUGGACAAUGGGCGCAAGCCUGAUCCAGCCAUGCCGCGUGCGGGAAGAAGGCCUUCGGGUUGUAAACCGCUUUUGUCAGGGAAGAAACCUUCUGAGUUAAUACCUCGGGAGGAUGACGGUACCUGAAGAAUAAGCACCGGCUAACUACGUGCCAGCAGCCGCGGUAAUACGUAGGGUGCAAGCGUUAAUCGGAAUUACUGGGCGUAAAGCGUGCGCAGGCGGUUUUGUAAGACAGAGGUGAAAUCCCCGGGCUCAACCUGGGAACUGCCUUUGUGACUGCAAGGCUUGAGUGCGGCAGAGGGGGAUGGAAUUCCGCGUGUAGCAGUGAAAUGCGUAGAUAUGCGGAGGAACACCGAUGGCGAAGGCAAUUCCCCCUGGGCCUGCACUGACGCUCAUGCACGAAAGCGUGGGGAGCAAA